AAGCGCUGGAAACGGCGUCUAAUACUGGAUACGACCAACCCUUGCAUGGGGUGUUGGUGGAAAGAUUUAUCGGUGGUGGAUGGACUCGCGUCCUAUCAGCUUGUUGGUGGGGUAAUGGCCUACCAAGGCGACGACGGGUAGCCGGCCUGACAGGGCGACCGGCCACACUGGGACUGAGACACGGCCCAGACUCCUACGGGAGGCAGCAGUGGGGAAUAUUGCACAAUGGGCGAAAGCCUG
rnacentral:rRNA from 1 species